rnacentral:rRNA from 1 species
UACGUAGGGUGCGAGCGUUAAUCGGAUUUACUGGGCGUAAAGCGUGCGUAGGUGGUUCGUUAAGUCUGUCGUGAAAGCCCCGGGCUCAACCUGGGAAUGGCGAUGGAUACUGGCGGGCUAGAGUGCGGUAGAGGAGAGUGGAAUUCCCGGUGUAGCAGUGAAAUGCGUAGAGAUCGGGAGGAACAUCAGUUGCGAAGGCGGCUCUCUGGACCAGCACUGACACUGAGGCACGAAAGCGUGGGGGGCAAACAGG